UACGUAGGUGGCAAGCGUUGUCCGGAAUUACUGGGUGUAAAGCGCGUGUAGGCGGGAGGCCAAGUCUGCUGUGAAAUCGCUCGGCUCAACUGGGCGGGGUCGGUGGAAACUGGUCACCUGGAGGACGGUAGAGGCGAGUGGAAUUCCCGGUGUAGUGGUGAAAUGCGUAGAGAUCGGGAGGAACACCGGUGGCGAAGGCGGGUCUCUGGGCAAUUCCUGACGCUGAGGCGCGAAAGCGUGGGGAGCAAACGGG
rnacentral:rRNA from 1 species